rnacentral:lncRNA from 1 species
GUGUUAACUUUUAGAUGAUUCACUUUCUUUUUGACUUAGUACAUGAUCAGUUUUGUGAAUGUCUUCAUUUAUACUUGAAAAAAUAUACUUUUUUUGAUUAUUGCUUUACAAAUUGUUUUAUUCUUUAAUAAAUAUCCAUAAUUGCUUAAUUUGUUAAUUUUCUUUUUGAGAAGCUUAUUUGUUAAAAAUUUUUAGUUGUCUGUUAUAUUCUCCGUAGAAUUACACUACUAGUUUAAAGCCGCCAGAUACAGUUGUAGGAACAGAACUGUGAUAUUUCGCAAGAGUUACAAGCAUUCUGAACCACGUUUCUUCAGCUGAAUUUUCUCCAGUGGUUUUCUUUAUGUUGUUUGCUCUGAAGAAAAUUUUUUUUGUUUGUUUUAGCAAACUUGUAUAUAGACACAGAAUUUGCAAGGGUAUGUACACACCAUGGCUAUGGUUAGUCUUAUUACCAUACUUUUAUUGCUUUACAGUCAUUUAAUUUCUAGCCCUAUAAAAAGAACUACUUCACCUCAAUGGUAGAGGCUACAGUGAGCGCGCACUUAGGAUAUCCUAGAUGGUCUCAUCUUGCUUGCUCCUGGAGAUUACAUCACCUCAGAUGACGUCAUCCCAGCCUAAAACAUACCAUUAGCGGUAACUUCAAUCCUUAAUUAGAGAUGACUUCAUCCCUUCCUUAGUCAGAAAUGACCUUGUUUGGAUAGUCCUUUUGUUAUUCCCCAUAGAAAGAAAAGAAAAAAAGAUGACUUCAUCCCAGAUAUUGAAAUCUCCAUGCCACACACAUAUGGACUCUGCUCCGUUUUACAGGGCAGUGGGCGUUAAUUGGCAUCUGUUGCUUUAUUUCUUCAUCGGAUAUUAGGGAUUUUGUUCAGUUUCUGAGCCUGCUGUGUACUUACACACAUGACAAUGGUUGGCUUCUUGUACUCUAAGAAUACAUACAUACCUAAAAUUCUAUGCCUAAAAGUGAUUUGCUGUUGAAUGAAUAUGUCUUCCCCAAUGCAUGUUGAAACCUAAUCUCAAUGAUGACGUUUUGGAAGUGCAGUAAGAGUUUGUAAACCAAGGUGUAAGUAGAUUGCCGAAAUGCAGUGUCGGUGGGACAUAUUUGCCUCUUUUACCAUGUGAGGAUACAAUAAAAAAUGCUUAUAAAUC